UUGAAGGAGAAGGCUGAUCUUACAAGCCAGAAUUGUGCCUGAUACCUAAAAAGUGUUCAGCAAAUGCUGCUGGCAACCUUAGAAGAGACUUGUGUUCCCGGCAGACGGCAAGAGUGAGACAGGGGAAGCAGGAGGACCAAGCUCAUUUGGGAUGUGAAUUUACAUCUACUUUAGAUUCGUAAGGAACUUGCCAGGGGACCUGUGAAAGAAGGGCGGUUAUCUGUAGCUGCCUAGAAAAGCUUCUUCAUGUGUCCCAUCUAGUCAAAUGGUUAAACAAUUCUGCGGGCUCCGGCUCUUCAUUGCUUAUGCUGUCUCCAGCUCUGCUCUAACUAACACGGGAGCUUCCUCCAAUCUAGAUUUCACAGAUAUCUGGAGCUCAUGUAUGGAAUGAAGGAGACCCAUCUUCUUGUCUUCUCCAGUGGGUAAUGACAUAGCCUGCAUACAUCACUCAAGGCCCAUCUCCCUCCUGCAUCCAUGUCACACAGAAUCUGUCUCUCUGGGCUCUGUGUUCUGCUGUGUUGUCAGUGGGGUAGUACCACAGUAUCAUUAUAAUACUAUACUAAUAAUACAAUAUUAUAAGAUUUGGUAUGUAGGUGGUA